AUGAUGGGUAGGGCAAGGCUGUGGCAGGGGGCCCCUAGAGGCGGCACACCUCCAGCUCCCCCCCCACCCCUCGGUCACCAGCUGCUCUGUGUGUCACUCAGGUGCUGGACCUGCAUCCUGCAUGGGAUGGGAGGCACAAGUUAUUGCACAAGGAGAGCUCCCUUCAGAGAGCUGAUUAAUGGGAUGAGUCCUGCCCCUAUGUUGCAGACUGGGGACAAGGGCUGCUACUGCUCCUCUGUCCUACCUGCCCAGCAGGCCCUCCUUAGAGGAUGCCACCCUUGCUCUGUGAAGUAUAUCAUAGAAUGGGAUCCCAAAAUGCUUUGGGUUGGAAGGGAUCUUAAAAAUCCUCUCAUUUCAACCCCUGCCAUGGGUAGGGACACCUUCCACCAUCCCAGGUUGCUCCAACCUGGCCUUGGACACUGCAGGGAUGCAGGGGCAGCCCCAGCUGCUCUGGGCACCCUGUGCCAGGGCCUGCCCACCCUCCCAGCCAGCAAUUCCUUGCCAAUAUCCCAGCUGGGCCUGCCCUCUGGCACUGGCAAGCCAUUGCCUGGGUGCUGGCCCUGCAGGCCUUGUCCCCAGUCCCUGGGCACCUCUCCUGGAGCCCCUUUAGGCCCUGCCAGGGGCUCUCAGCUCUCCCUGGAGCCUGAAUACUUGUGCAGGGGAGCAGCCCCAGCUCUCCCAGGCUGCCUCCAGAGCACAGGGGCUCCAGCCCUGGCAGCAGCUGCGUGGCCUCCUCUGGGCCGGCUCCAGCAGCUCCACGUCCUUGUGCUGGUGUUGCCCAGGGCUGGGGCAGCUCUGCAGGUGGGGUCUCACCUGAGCACAGGGGCACAGGGGCACAAUCCCCCACCUUUACCUGCCUGUCUCACUGCUGGUGAUGCAGCCCAGGGUAUGCCUGACCUCUACAGGGAAGCCCUUUUGUUUUCUCCUGCUGUCACUGCAGUCUUUCUGCCUGUCUGGCCUUGGACUGGGAAGUCCUGGGAUGAAUGUCAGCAGCAUCUGUACAUUAUAGACAGGAACAUAAAUUCAAGGCACUAA
rnacentral:lncRNA from 1 species